rnacentral:piRNA from 1 species
GAGAACAGAAGGGGCAACCAUGUA